AUAGCUUCCGAUGAUGACAUCAUCGGUUCAUAUAGGCAACGUUAUAUAAAUCCUGUAAUUAAUGGGUGGAGACGUUUCACAUUUCAGAAUCAGUGCUUUGACCUUUGAAAUCUGAACCAAUCGCCCCACCCGGCACCCGCUUCUUUGAGCUUUCUUUCAUGCCUUUCUUUGUGUUGUGGUGGCUCGGGGCAUUUUAGGGUUCCGUCUUUCCAUGACCAGACUCUUAUCUGCUCCCAUCUCUCGAAUGCUUGCUUAGAUUUCCGGACUAUGGGUAAAAUCUUCCAUCUUCCACCCUCUUUGAUCGUUACGACCAAGUUUCAGAACUGAGACGAGAGACCACAUAUAAGGGUUCUCUUUAGAACUCUAGGUUUCUCAAUUGCUUGGUGAAAUAUUGUUCUAAUGAUUCUCUUUUAUACUUGGAUUUGUAGGUGCAAACCCAAUAAUAAGUUCAGUUCUCUUGAUUGUCAAUCUUCUUCGCCAUUGAAUUCCGAAAGACUUACUGGAUUUUGAUCUAAAUGCUAGGUUCCCUCUUGUUACUGUAGUUCUUUUUGAUCUCCGCUUCGGUUGAGCGAAAUCCAUUUGAGAAUUGACUUUUAUCUUCUCUUGCUUUGAUUUUCAUCAGAACCUCGCAUUUCCAUAUCGAUUGUGGUCAAAAUCAUUUACGUCUAGGUACCUCGUAGUUGUUGUGAGGUUUUGCAUGCCAUUUCUUUUUCUUUUUUUUCUUUGUGAACUUCCAUUGGGAAAUCUAACUUCUCCAAAGAGUUCUAAUUGAAGUCGCAGAAUUUCAUCUCGGUCAUGGUCGAAAUUUUAAAAAUCUGAACUCGUUUACUAGGCUUUGGUCCGUUACUUGUUUCUUCUGGGACUGAUUCGUUGCCAUGGACGAUGGUGAGCUCGAUUUCUCUAACCAAGAAAUGUUCUCUAGCCCGAACAUGGGCGAUCAGCCCCCGAGCAGUUGCUCCAUGGAUAGCUUCUUCGAUGAACUCCUCAACGACACUCAUGCUUGUACCCAUACCCACACUUGCAAUCCACCUGGCCCUGAUUUCACCCAUACACACACUUGUUUUCAUGUUCACACCAAAAUCCUGUCUGCUCCCUCUGAAGAUAAGAUAGCUACUGAUGAUACAGCAGAGUCUGUGGAAAAGAAGGCUAAGAAACGGCCAUUGGGUAAUAGAGAAGCUGUUCGUAAGUACCGUGAGAAGAAGAAGGCCCGAGCUGCUUCAUUAGAGGACGAAGUUGUCAAAUUGAGAGCUCUGAACCAGCAAUUGCUGAAGAGGUUGCAGGGUCAAGCUGCAUUGGAGGCUGAAAUAGCUAGGCUCAAGUGUUUGCUUGUAGACAUCAGAGGGAGGAUUGAAGGGGAGAUUGGAUCUUUUCCUUAUCAGAAACUACCAAAAAGUAGCGACGGGGUUCAAAACUUGGUUCAUGCAAGCUUGCCUGGCGCUUAUGUCAUGAAUCCAUGUGAUCUGCGUUGUGAUGACCAAGUUUAUUGCCUUCAUCCAGGGGUGGAAGGCAAGGUUGGAGAAAGUGCAGUAUUAAAUGACCAAGGGCUUAGUGCGUGUGAAAUGGAUAAUCUUCAGUGCAUGGGAAAUUCUAAUUUGGGAUUGAAGGAGCUUCCAGGUUGCGGACAGGGAAAUACUGGUACUGUGGUCAGCUCUUCAAGUGCAAAUAAAAAAAAGGGAGUCUUCCCAUUGCUGCUGAUGAGACUGAAGACUUCACUGUGCUGUAACUAAGCAUCUUGAAUGUAAAUGGUAGAGAGCUUCUAUUUAAGAGGGGCUCAUGCAGCAAAGCGAGGUUGAAGAGCUAAUUCGAUAAAGUUUAUUUUGAGGGUUGAAAGAGUGGAAGAUGAGAUUUGUUCUUAUUUCAACCCGUGACUUUUGUGAACCCGUGAGGGUUGGCGUUUCUCAACUUCCAAACGUGUAAUAUGAGAGGAAGCCAAACUACUAUGCAUAAUUUUCCUAUGCCUAGUAUUGCACUACAGAUACAAGUCCCAAACCUUAAUACUAAAUGAGGAUGAAAAAGAAGAGCUCUCUCGUAGGUGCAUUUCUUUUCUAAAUUCAAUUUUGUAUCUGCCUAUUGGUUCGCCUUACAAAGGAUCCUCAUUGUCCAUCCAGAGGGUGGGCAAGCUAAUCCAGAUGGGAAUGGGAACUCGUAUGAGUUGCGAUUACAAAUUUACGAUCAGAUCAACUGUGCUCCAUGUUGCAUUCCAGCACAAGGACUGCCUGGUAUUGUUGUGAAUGUGCACUGUCUGUUUCUCCUUGUCGUGCAGAGGGUGGAGAGGCAAUGAGACAUCAAGCUCAAGCCUACAAUGGUAAUGGUUGAUUUUGAGGGAUCCAUAGCCCAUGGGAAGGCCAAAAUUCAAGCUGCAUUUGAUUAUAUGAUGAAGUGGAAUGUUUUCCUUCCUUUUUUUUUUCUUGUAAGGAUGAUAUUUCCUUCUAUAUUUGGGACAUAGGUGUAGAUCUGUCUACCAUAUGGUGAGCGUGAAAAAAACUACAAGUGCCAUUCUAAUUCUAAUUGGGAAUCUAUUUUUCAGUUUGGGACUUGAGAGAGAGAGAGAGCGAUGUUUGGAGUUUGGACCACCCAACCCCAAUAAUCGUGACUGCUCCAAUUCGUUUGUCAGAGAAACAGCAAAAGUUCUUUUCAGCCUCUUUCCUUGAUGCAAUAAUGAACUUUUCAAGGUGGGGGGGGGUUGUCUUUUUUUUAUUUCUUUCAUUUUCUUUUUAUCUCCAUCCUACACCUGGACCUUGGUAUUCUCAAACGCCAUACAGAAGUAGAGGUAAUACUGAUCCAGACUUCCAGAGCAUCAACUCUGGUAAGCAGGAAAAAAUGCGAAAUAUAUUGUUUUCAUUGUUGGGAAUUUAUAUUUAUGUGAAAAAACGUCGACAGUUUAAUGUUACCUUUAUUGAACA